AUUGAACGCUGGCGGCAGGCCUAACACAUGCAAGUCGAACGAGUGGCGGACGGGUGAGUAAUGUCUGGGAAACUGCCUGAUGGAGGGGGAUAACUACUGGAAACGGUAGCUAAUACCGCAUACCAUCGGAUGUGCCCAGAUGGGCUUAGCUAGUAGGUGGGGGAAGGGCUCACCUAGGCGACGAUCCCUAGCUGGUCUGAGAGGAUGACCAGCCACACUGGAACUGAGACACGGUCCAGACUCCUUCGGGAGGCAGCAGUGGGGAAUAUUGCACGAUGGGCGGAAGCCUGGUGCAGCCAUGCCGCGUGUAUGAAGAAGGACUUCGGGUUGUAAAGCACUUUCAGCGAGGAGGCGUUACCCGCAGAAGAAGCACCGGCUAACUCCGUGCCAGCAGCCGCGGUAAUAC
rnacentral:rRNA from 1 species